rnacentral:lncRNA from 1 species
AAAUUCUCAGUCCUCAAAUUCGGAUACCAAACCACCGCUGUGAUAUCACCUUAAAGGCUUCGUUUGAUUCGGGGUUAAGUAAGAACUAGUUAUUCCAGAAAUAGGGCUAAGUUCAAGGUUAAGUGGGGUUAGAGUAAUUUUGUAUUUGGUUGAGAAUUGAGUUUAGUCCAAAUAUAAGAAAAUUAAUGUUUGGUUGGAGUAAGUGGAAUAAGAAGGAUAGUGGAUAGUUAUAAAUAGAAAAUA